rnacentral:rRNA from 1 species
AGAGUUUGAUCAUGGCUCAGGACGAACGCUGGCGGCGCGCUUAACACAUGCAAGUCGAGCGAGAAUCAGUCCUUCGGGACUGAGGACAGCGGCGAACGGGUGAGUAACACGUGGGUAAUCUGCCCUCGAUUCUGGGAUAGCCCGGGGAAACCCGGAUUAAUACCGGAUAGCCUCUCUGGCCUUCGGGCCGGUGAGAAAAGGUAGCUUCGGCCUCCGAUCGAGGAUGAGCCCGCGGCGGAUUAGCUUGUUGGUGGGGUAACGGCUCACCAAGGCGACGAUCCGUAGCUGGUCUGAGAGGACGAUCAGCCACACUGGGACUGAGACACGGCCCAGACUCCUACGGGAGGCAGCAGUGGGGAAUCUUGCGCAAUGGGCGAAAGCCUGACGCAGCGACGCCGCGUGGGGGAAGACGGCCUUCGGGUUGUAAACCUCUUUCGACAGGGACGAAGCCACUCGGGUUAAUAGCCCAGAGGGUGACGGUACCUGCAGAAGAAAGCUCCGGCUAACUUCGUGCCAGCAGCCGCGGUA